rnacentral:ncRNA from 1 species
AAAAUAUUUUAUUAUAGUAAUAAAAUUUAUUAAUUGAAUAAUUUAUAUGUAAAUUUUUGUGGGAAUAAUUAGUAUUUAAAAAAUAAUUAAUAAAUUUAUUCGCAGUAAUUAAUAUUAUUAAUUUAAGAAAUUAUGAAUUAGUAAUUUAAUUUAAUAUAGAUUUAUUUUGUGCCAGCAAUCGCGGUUAUACAAAGUAUAUAAAUAAAUUAAAUUAGAAAAAUUUAAAUAAUAAUAAUUAAUUAAAUUUUAAUUUAUAUUAUUAGGUGAAAUUUUAAUAUUUUAUAAAUUUAAUAAAUAAAAUAAUUGAUUUUGUAAAUUUUUAAAUAAACUAGGAUUAGAUACCCUAUUAUUAAAAUAUAAUAUUUAAAUUCUAGAUUAAUAUUAAAUAUAUUUAUGAAACUAAAAUAAUUUGGCGGUAUUUUAGUCUAUUCAGAGGAAUUUGUUCUAUAAUCGAUAAUCCGCGUUAAAUCUUACUUAUUUUAUUUAAUUUGUAUAUCGUUAUCAUUAGAAUAUUUUAUAAGAAAAAAUAAUUUUCUUUAAUUUUAGUUAAAAUUUUAUGUUAAAUCAAGGUGCAGUUUAUAUUUAAGUAGAAAUGAAUUAUAAUAAUAUAUAAUUAAAUGAAUAGGUAUUUGAAAAAAUAUGUUGAAAGUAGAUUUGAUAGUAAAUUUAUAUAUUAUAUUAAAUUGAUUUUAGCUCUAAAAUAUGCACAUAUUGCCCGUCGCUCUUAUUAAUUAAAGUAAGAUAAGUCGUAACAAAGUAGAAUUACUGGAAAGUGAUUCUAGAUAGA